rnacentral:rRNA from 1 species
AACUCUAAGCGGUGGAUCACUCGGCUCAUGGGUCGAUGAAGAACGCAGCAAACUGUGCGUCAUCGUGAGAACUGCAGCACACAUGAACAUCGACAUUUUGAACGCAUAUCGCAGUCCAUGCUGUUAUGUACUUUAAUUAAUUUUAUAGUGCUGCUUGGACUACAUAUGGUUGAGGGUUG